GCAGUCGAGCGGACCUUUGGGAGCUUGCUCCCAAAGGUUAGCGGCGGACGGGUGAGUAACACGUGGGCAACCUGCCUAUAAGACUGGGAUAACUUCGGGAAACCGGAGCUAAUACCGGAUAACAUAUGAGACCACAUGGUCUCAUAUUGAAAGAUGGCUUCUCGCUAUCACUUAUAGAUGGGCCCGCGGCGCAUUAGCUAGUUGGUGAGGUAACGGCUCACCAAGGCGACGAUGCGUAGCCGACCUGAGAGGGUGAUCGGCCACACUGGGACUGAGACACGGCCCAGACUCCUACGGGAGGCAGCAGUAGGGAAUCUUCCGCAAUGGACGAAAGUCUGACGGAGCAACGCCGCGUGAGCGAAGAAGGUCUUCGGAUCGUAAAGCUCUGUUGUUAGGGAAGAACAAGUAUCGUUCGAAUAGGGCGGUACCUUGACGGUACCUAACCAGAAAGCCACGGCUAACUACGUGCCAGCAGCCGCGGUAAUACGUAGGUGGCAAGCGUUAUCCGGAAUUAUUGGGCGUAAAGCGCGCGCAGGCGGUCCUUUAAGUCUGAUGUGAAAGCCCACGGCUCAACCGUGGAGGGUCAUUGGAAACUGGGGGACUUGAGUGCAGAAGAGGAGAGCGGAAUUCCACGUGUAGCGGUGAAAUGCGUAGAGAUGUGGAGGAACACCAGUGGCGAAGGCGGCUCUCUGGUCUGUAACUGACGCUGAGGCGCGAAAGCGUGGGGAGCGAACAGGAUUAGAUACCCUGGUAGUCCACGCCGUAAACGAUGAGUGCUAAGUGUUA
rnacentral:rRNA from 1 species